rnacentral:rRNA from 1 species
UACGGAGGGUGCAAGCGUUAUCCGGAUUCACUGGGUUUAAAGGGUGCGUAGGCGGGUAAGUAAGUCCGUGGUGAAAUCUCUGAGCUUAACUCAGAAACUGCCGUGGAUACUAUUUGCCUUGAAUAUUGUGGAGGUGAGCGGAAUAUGUCAUGUAGCGGUGAAAUGCUUAGAUAUGACAUAGAACACCAAUUGCGAAGGCAGCUCACUACACAAUCGUUGACGCUGAGGCACGAAAGCGUGGGGAUCAAACAGG